CGGAGGGUGCAAGCGUUAUCCGGAUUUAUGGGUUUAAAGGGUCCGUAGGCGGAUCCGUAAGUCAGUGGUGAAAUCUCACAGCUUAACUGUGAAACUGCCAUUGAUACUGCGGGUCUUGAGUAAGGUAGAAGUGGCUGGAAUAAGUAGUGUAGCGGUGAAAUGCAUAGAUAUUACUUAGAACACCAAUUGCGAAGGCAGGUCACUAUGUCUUAACUGACGCUGAUGGACGAAAGCGUGGGGAGCGAACAGGAUUAGAUACCCUGGUAGUCCACGCCGUAAACGAUGCUAACUCGUUUUUGGGCUUUCGGGUUCAGAGACUAAGCGAAAGUGAUAAGUUAGCCACCUGGGGAGUACGUUCGCAAGAAUG
rnacentral:rRNA from 1 species